rnacentral:rRNA from 1 species
CCUACGGGUGGCUGCAGUUGGGAAUAUUGGACAAUGGGCGAAAGCCUGAUCCAGCAAUGCCGCGUGAGUGAUGAAGGCCUUCGGGUCGUAAAGCUCUUUUAGCAGGGAAGAAGGGAAACUUGACUGUACCUGCAGAAAAAGCACCGGCUAACUCUGUGCCAGCAGCCGCGGUAAUACAGAGGGUGCAAGCGUUGUUCGGAAUUAUUGGGUGUAAAGCGCGUGUAGGCGGUCAUUUAAGUCUGGUGUGAAAGCCCGGGGCUCAACCCCGGAAGUGCACUGGAUACUGAAUGACUAGAGGAUGAGAGAGGAAGGUGGAAUUCAUGGUGUAGGGGUGAAAUCCGUAGAUAUCAUGAGGAACAUCCGUGGCGAAGGCGACCUUCUGGCUCAUUUCUGACGCUGAGACGCGAAAGCGUGGGGAGCAAACAGGAUUAGAUACCCCGGUAGUC